rnacentral:rRNA from 1 species
GCUCUCUUCGGAGAGUGCAUAGAGUGGCGCACGGGUGAGUAACACGUAAGUAAUCUACCUUCGAGUGGGGAAUAACGUCCGGAAACGGACGCUAAUACCGCAUAAUGCAGCGGCAUCGUAAGAUGACAGUUGUUAAAGAUUUAUCGCUUGAAGAGGAGCUUGCGGCAGAUUAGCUAGUUGGUAAGGUAAUGGCUUACCAAGGCUACGAUCUGUAACCGGUCUUAGAGGACGGUCGGUCACACUGACACUGAAUAACGGGUCAGACUCCUACGGGAGGCAGCAGUCGGGAAUUUUGGGCAAUGGGCGAAAGCCUGACCCAGCAACGCCGCGUGAAGGAUGAAGUAUUUCGGUAUGUAAACUUCGAAAGAAUAGGAAGAAUAAAUGACGGUACUAUUUAUAAGGUCCGGCUAACUACGUGCCAGC